GACGAACGCUGGCGGCGUGCUUAACACAUGCAAGUCGAACGGAAAGGCCCUGCUUGCAGGGUGCUCGAGUGGCGAACGGGUGAGUAACACGUGGGUGAUCUGCCCCUUACUUUGGGAUAAGCCUGGGAAACUGGGUCUAAUACUGGAUAGGACCAUGCUGUAGGUGGUGUGGUGGAAAGAUUAGUUUCGGUAAGGGAUGAGCUCGCGGCCUAUCAGCUUGUUGGUGGGGUAAUGGCCUACCAAGGCGUCGACGGGUAGCCGGCCUGAGAGGGUGGACGGCCACAUUGGGACUGAGAUACGGCCCAGACUCCUACGGGAGGCAGCAGUGGGGAAUAUUGUACAAUGGGCGCAAGCCUGAUGCAGCGACGCCGCGUGGGGGAUGACGGCCUUCGGGUUGUAAACUCCUUUCAGCCAUGACGAAGCCCUUGUGGUGACGGUAGUGGUAGAAGAAGCACCGGCUAACUACGUG
rnacentral:rRNA from 1 species